rnacentral:rRNA from 1 species
CCUACGGGAGGCAGCAGUGAGGAAUAUUGGUCAAUGGACGAGAGUCUGAACCAGCCAAGUAGCGUGAAGGAUGACUGCCCUAUGGGUUGUAAACUUCUUUUAUAUGGGAAUAAAAUGUUCCACGUGUGGGAUUUUGUAUGUACCAUAUGAAUAAGGCUCGGCUAACUCCGUGCCAGCAGCCGCGGUAAUACGGAGGAUCCGAGCGUUAUCCGGAUUUAUUGGGUUUAAAGGGAGCGUAGGUGGAUUGUUAAGUCAGUUGUGAAAGUUUGCGGCUCAACCGUAAAAUUGCAGCUGAAACUGGCAGUCUUGAGUACAGUAGAGGUGGGCGGAAUUCGUGGUGUAGCGGUGAAAUGCUUAGAUAUCACGAAGAACUCCGAUUGCGAAGGCAGUUCACUGGACUGCAACUGACACUGAGGCUCGAAAGUGUGGGUAUCAAACAGGAUUAGAUACCCGAGUAGUC